rnacentral:rRNA from 1 species
AGUGAACGCUGGCGGUAGGCCUAACACAUGCAAGUCGAACGGCAGCACAGUAAGAUCUUGCUCUUACGGGUGGCGAGUGGCGGACGGGUGAGGAAUACAUCGGAAUCUACUUUUUCUUGGGGGAUUACGUAGGGAAACUUACGCUAAUACCGCAUACGACCUACUGGUGAAAGCAGGGGAUCUUCGGACCUUGCGCGAUUUAAUUAGCCGACUUCGGAUUAGCUAGUUGGCGGGGUAAAGGCCCACCAAGGCGAAGAUCCGUAGCUGGUCUGAGAGGAUGAUCAGCCACACUGGAACUGAGAAACGGUCCAGACUCCGAAGGGAGGCAGCAGUGGGGAAUAUUGGACAAUGGGAGCAAGCCUGAUCCAGCCAUACCGCGUGAGUGAAGAAGGCAUUCGGGUUGUAAAACUCUGUUGUUGGGAAAGAAAAGCAGCAGGAGAAUACCGCGCUGUUCUGACGGUACCCAAAGAAUAAGAACCGGCUAACUUAGUG